UAUAGAGGGGGCAAGCGUUGUUCGGAAUUACUGGGCGUAAAGGGCUCGUAGGUGGCCAACUAAGUCAGACGUGAAAUCCCUCGGCUUAACCGGGGAACUGCGUCUGAUACUGGAUGGCUUGAGUUUGGGAGAGGGAUGCGGAAUUCCAGGUGUAGCGGUGAAAUGCGUAGAUAUCUGGAGGAACACCGGUGGCGAAGGCGGCAUCCUGGACCAACACUGACACUGAGGAGCGAAAGCCAGGGGAGCAAACGGG
rnacentral:rRNA from 1 species